GCGAACGACCAUACCACGUUGAAUACACCAGUUCUCGUCCGAUCACUGAAGUUAAGCAACGUCGGGCGUAGUUAGUACUUGGAUGGGUGACCGCUUGGGAACACUACGUGCCGUUGGCA
rfam:Acyrthosiphon pisum strain LSR1 Contig35122, whole genome shotgun sequence.